rnacentral:rRNA from 1 species
UACAGAGGUCUCGAGCGUUAGGCGGAAUCACUGGGCUUAAAGCGUGUGUAGGCGGAUCGGUAAGUACCUUGUGAAAUCCCACAGCUUAACUGUGGAACUGCUUGGUAUACUGCCAGUCUUGAGCCAGCUAGGGGCUACCGGAACAAAUGGUGGAGCGGUGAAAUGCGUAGAUAUCGUAAGGAAGACCAGUGGCGAAGGCGAGUCUCUGGACAGUUACUGACACUGAGGCACGAAGGCUAGGGGAGCAAACGGG